AAUAAGUGUAGUUUUGUACUAUUCAUGUUCAACGUUUGACCGUUCGUCUUAUUUGAAAAUUUUUUAAAAUUUUUUUAUGAUUAGUAUUUUUAUUGCUAUUAGAUGAUAAAACAUGAAUAGUACUUUAUGUGUGACUAAAUAUUUUCAAAUUUUUCACAAUUUUUUCAAAUAAGACGGACUGUUAAACGUUGGGCACGGAUAUCCACGGCUGCACUUAUU
rfam:Oryza sativa Japonica Group DNA, chromosome 1, cultivar: Nipponbare, complete sequence.